rnacentral:lncRNA from 1 species
UAAAUUUUAAAUCCUAAUUGGGGUUAUCUUUUAAAUAACCCCAAAAUCCUAAAAAACAUGACGUAAAUCUACCCAUUCUAAUUUGACUUUCAAAAUUUAUACUAGAUUGUACAAUUCCACCUCAACCUUUUCCUUUUUCAAUUUGAAUUUUAAAAUUUUCAUUAUAUGGUACAAUUUCACCUCAACCUUGUCCUUUUUCUAAUUUGAAUUUCAAAAUUUAUACUAGAUUGUACAAUUCCACCUCAACCUUAUUCUUUUUCUAUUUUUGAAAUUCAAAAUUUGUACUAGAUUGUACAAUUCCACCUCACUUUAUCCUCCAACAAACCUUACCCUCAAUUUUGAAAUUCCCAAAACACCACUAAAUUCUUUCUCCCACAUUGAUGGAUUCAAAGAAUUGAAUGUCCAUCCUUUCCUAUAAAUAUUACUACUAUCUUGGUAGAAAAAAGUUUCAAAAAGUGGAAAAAACUUUUGAGAAAAUAGUUAAAUUUCUUUUCUUUAGUAAAAAUUUUCAAGCGGUAGUCUAAUUGGGGUUCUCAAAAGAUUUCUUUUUGGUGGUGAUCAAGAUUCCGAAGAAGGCUUGAAUUCUCGUUUUGCUGCCUAAAAAGGUAAACACACCUUUCCCCUUUUAGUUUUAUUAUUGUUUUCUUUCUCAUCUCCUUCUUCUUCGUAGUUCGUAGUUGUAAUUUUGUUUGCUGAGAUUGUUUAUUAUAGAGGACCUUGAAAGGCAUAAGACAUUGUGCUAUCAGCAUUAUGGUUAUUUUCAUGUUCAUUGUAUAAAAAUGAGCUAGCAAUAGUUGAACGUGUUUCUUUGUCUUUAUUCUUUGAUUAUUUUGGAUAAAGUAUUGAUCUUUGCUUAAAAGACAUACUCAUGCCUUAUUUAAAUUCAUUAUGAGCAGAUAUAUUUGUUUUUAGCAUGUAAAGCUGUUUCCUUUAUGUUGAAAAAAAUAGUUAAUAUUGAUUUUUUUUCAUUCUUAACUUUAUUUUUUGAUUAUUAUGGAUAAAGUUUCAAUCUUUGCUUAAAAGACGCACUUAUUCUUUAUUUAUUUAUUUAUCUAUUUGGUCAUUUAUUUAGACUUCGGAGCCAAAGUUGUAAUUUAAUAUAGGUGAAGCAGAUUUUGGGCCUCAAAGGUCCGAAAAUUAGUUUAGGAUAGGCUAUGGGCCAAAAGCCCAAGUAUUUAGAUUAGAAUAGGUGAAGAUAGGCCAAAAGCUCAAAUUAGCUUAGAAUGGGAUUUAUGGAUUUGGGCCUAAUGGCCUAAGUCCUUUAGUAUUCCCUUUUUCCUUAUAUAUGCUAAUUGUUCUUAGUAUUCUUAGACUUAGUUAAAAAUCCCCGCUAAGUCAUCAAAAUUUGUUUUGCACAAAUCUUGAAGAAAAAAUUUUUUCUUCAAUCAUUUUUUUUUCAAAAAUGAAUUUCCCCUUUUAAAGUUAGUCAAAAAAUUUAAUUUCACAUAGUCUGGAUAAUCACAAGUUAGCAGAUACUCCUGGUUCCUUAACAACCUUUGUAAUGCCCCACAUUUUGGACUAGAAUGAAAAUCUGUCAUUCCUAUGGAUGUUUCAAAAGCCUCAAAUCCUAUAUAAAUUUAGUGUGUUAAUCAAUUAUGUAGUGUGGGAAUCUAUUUGAGCAUGAAUUUAGAUGAUAGAGGUCCCCUAACUCAAGUACAAGUUAAAAGCCUUCCUAUCAUUCAAGUUUUAGUGAGUGUCAAAACUUGGGUCAAAUUCAAUCAACCAUAACUCAUUUAUAUAACUAACUGAUUGGUUUACCAUAUAUCAAAUGAAUUAUCUUUGAAUUAGCUUUCCAACGAUACCAAUUUCACCUAAAUUCGAUAUCGGAGCAAAGAGUUAUGCCUAUUUUACUCCAGCAUAUCAGGCUGGAAAUAGUGUGACAACAUUUGUGAUAGCUUAUCACAAUUGUGACGCCCUAUCAUAAAGGUUGUCAGCCUUAGGAAAAAACCAUCCCCUAAGUGAUGAAAUUCGUGGUAGCUUUUCACAUUUGUGAUGCCCUAUCACGAAGGUCGUCAGCUAUGAUUUUCAGCAACUGAGAAAUUAUUUCAUAAGGGUAUUUUGGUCUUUUUCUUCACCUUCCACAACAUAUAACCCUAAAGAGGCAUAUUUUUUCCCAUUUUUCUUCAAUUAAGCAUCUUAAAAACCCUCUCUUACACUCUCAACUACAAUAUUAGGGUUUCCAUCAAACUCAUUUCUCAAAAGUAAGAUUCAAGCAUUUUUCCAAGAUAAUCAAGAAUUAAGUUUUCCAAUCCAAGAAAUCUCCAGCAAAUCGUCAAGGUUUCCUUUCUAAGGUAUGCGUGUGUUCAUUCAUGGACUCCUUUCGUCCAUGAAGCUCAAGAACCCUUUUCUAAAACUAUAUAUUAUGGUUUUCAUUUUAUGAAUGGAUUGUUGAUCAUGUUUAUGUGUUGAAUGAUGCCAAGAUAGAAUCUUUAUGUGUUAUUAUGAAUCUAUGACAUCAUAUGAGUUGAAAAUAUGUAAGUUUGAUUAUUUAUGAUGAGUAAUUGUAUGAUUUACACCUAUUCCUAAGUUGUACAUGUAAGGUAUUUGAUAAAAUACCUAAGAGACUAGAAAUCAUGCAUUAUAGCUAAAUUGUGACUAAGUGAAGGAUUCAUGAUAGGCAUCUAUGAUUCAAUGUCAUCCAUGUUGAUAAUGUGUCUUGUGAACAUUGUUGGAUUACUCAUGAACUAGUCUUAUGGAAUUAUGCUAUACUUACUUGCAAAACCCACUCAUGUACAAGAUGUAGAAUACCGAUGUACUUCAUGAAAUUCCCCUAGUUAUAAUAAUAUGGAUUGCGAUUAUAAUAUGUAAUGAGCAUGAUAUUGAAAGCUAUGCAAGUAUAUACAUGUUGUAUGAAAUUCCCUUCCAUGAAAUAGAUUGUUGAGAACAAUGCUUAGUAUGAAAUUUCUUAUUUAUGAUAUUGUGGAAUAUGGACUCUACUCUUAUGAUCAAGUCAGUCAUGUGUGUCAGUUUCCUUCCAUCGAGUCCUCGGGGUACUUGUACCUAAGAAAUAUAGUUGUGUGCCUAGAUCCAUGUCAUGUUUUCACGAUACUCUCAAUCAAGCCAUGAUCUAUAGAAAUCAGUCAUUCAUGUAUCUCAGAAAAACUCAGUAAUCUCAGAAGUUCAGUAUUCUCAGUAAUCUCAGUGCUCAGUAACCUCAGUAAUAAUAGUAAAUCUCAGUAACUUCAGUACUCUUAAUCAGUCCUCAGAACACAUUAUAUUCCAUCCGUCAUCAAAAUCCAGUAAACUCAGUUUUAGCUCUACUAAAUAAUACCACCAGUAUCAGUUUAGUCAAUCAAUAUCAGUUCAACAAAUCAGUUCGGUUAAGUUAUUUAGUUUAGCCCAGUUAUUCAGUUUAGUGUCUUUCAGAUAAGAGUAGGAUUCAGCACCGAGCGAACCUAGAAAUGGGGGCCCACCCGCUAGAUUAGGACGGAGAUACUUAGAAACAAUCCCUAAGUUCUAGAACUACGUAGCCAGCGUAGGUACGAGAUGUCACCCAUUAGAUAGGACUGACAUACUCAGGGGUCACCCGCUAGCAUACUUAUAUGUAUAGGACUGAUCCCAGGAGUCACCCGCUAGAUUAGGACUAACUCUACAGCAGAUGUCUUUACUGGUGGUACGGUACUGACCCCCUUCCAGUCAGGGUAGAGAUUAGACCCCAGUCAGCUUAGCUUGGGGCAUGUCGGUUAGAUGAACACAUCCCACAGUUUUAGUUACAAAUUCAGGACUGUCAGAUACAGUCAACUCAGUUUAGUAGUGUAGAUUCAAUACUGUUAGAGACAAUCAAUCCUUAUCAUUAUAAAUAGGCUUCAUGAUCACCUAUUAGACAGAACUGAUCUUAACUAUAGUUAAACAGUAUCAGAAUCAUCAAAUUAAAGAUAACCCGCUUCAUAGGACUGAUCUUAAAUUCAGUUACUCCGUAUAAAACAGAACUCAAAUAGUUCCAUCAGAAUUUAGACUGUCAGAUACAGUCGCUCAGUAUCAGUUACAUCGUUUAGGCCAAUCAUCAUAGUUAUAUCAGUUAUCAAAAUUCAUGAUAUCAGUAUUCAGCUUCAGGAUUGUUAGACACAGUUAACCAGACCAGUUUUUCAUAAUUCAAACUGUCAAAAAUAGUCGUUCAUCUAUUCAGUAUCUCAAUAUCAGUACACUCAUGUUGUCAGUAUUCAGACUCAGUAGUCAUUAUCUCCAUGAGUUCAGUUAUAGUUAUGUAUGCAUGUAUGUAUUCUCACGUUCAUAUUAGUCAGCAUUGUCCAUAUAUAUAACCCUUUACAUUUAGCCUACCUCAAUUGUAUACUCAAUAUAUUCAGACGUACUGACGUAUUUGCGCUAUGGUGCUUUCUGUUAUGUUACACCAUAGGUUCAGAGGCACGAGCUCCAGAUCAGCAGUAGCAUUCUAGUGUUCAGAGUUUACAGUGAGUCCUUCUCAUUUGAGGAAGAUAUGAUUAUUGCUACAUUUACUAUUCAGUUGCUACAUGGAGUUAUUUGGAGAUUGUUCCUUCAACUCUUUAUUUAUUUUAGUUAGAGGCUUUCAAACUAGAUGUCAGAUUAGAUAUUCAGAUCUCAUUAUUUUCAGUAUUUAUGACUUGUUUUGGUAUUGUUAUACCUUUUUCUGUCAUUUUAUUAUCAGACG